rnacentral:rRNA from 2 species
CGGUCCUAAGGUAGCGAAAUUCCUUGUCGGGUAAGUUCCGACCUGCACGAAUGGCGUAACGACUUCCCCACUGUCUCGACCAGGAGCUCGGCGAAAUUGCAGUACGAGUAAAGAUGCUCGUUAAGCGCAGAAGGACGAAAAGACCCCGGGACCUUUACUAUACCUUGGUAUUGGCAUUCGGUGUGGAUUGUGUAGCAUAGGCGGGAGGCCGAGAGGCGCGGUCGCCAGAUCGCGCGGAGCCGUAAGGUGAAAUACCGCUCUGUUCGCAUUGGAUGUCUAACCUCGAACAGUCAUCCUGUUCAGGGACAGUGCCUGGCGGGUAGUUUAACUGGGGCGGUUGCCUCCCAAAGAGUAACGGAGGCGCCCAAAGGUCCGCUCAGCCCGGUUGGCAAUCGGGUGGCGAGUGCAAGUGCACAAGCGGGCUUGACUGCGAGGACGACGGUCCGAGCAGGGACGAAAGUCGGGACUAGUGAUCCGGUGCCGGUGUACGGACGCGGCAUCGCUCAACGGAUAAAAGGUACCCCGGGGAUAACAGGCUGAUCAUUCCCAAGAGUCCAUAUCGACGGGAUGGUUUGGCACCUCGAUGUCGGCUCGUCGCAUCCUGGGGCUGGAGCAGGUCCCAAGGGUUCGGCUGUUCGCCGAUUAAAGCGGCACGCGAGCUGGGUUCAGAACGUCGUGAGACAGUUUGGUCUCUAUCCUCUGCGCUCGUUGGAAUGCUGAGGAGGCCUGCCCAUAGUACGAGAGGACCUGGGUGGACGAACCUCUGGUAUGCCGGUUGUCACGCCAGUGGCACGGCCGGUUGGCUACGUUCGGAAGGGAUAACCGCUGAAAGCAUCUAAGCGGGAAGCCUGCUCCAAGAUAAGCAUUCCGUGGAACCUUCGAGUUCCUGUAGUCCCCAUGCAGAACACGUGGUCGAUAGGCCGGACGUGGAAGCCCCGCGAGGGGUGGAGCCGACCGGUACUAACGGACGAAAGGCAACACUAA